CAAGGGCAGAACGUUUGGAUGUGCACAGCUGAAGGAACAGACUAGCACCCGGCAGAGGAGCCAGGAGCAGCUGUUGGAGCGGGUGGAGUGUGCACACGUCUCACUCUCCAGAUGACCAGAUGAAUCAUCAGCAUGCUCCAGACUGGUGAGGAAUUACUUUGUCAAUCCCUGUGUGGCAAAGCUUUCCCAGCAGGCUCAAUGCUAAGGCCGGUAGAUUUUGGAAGUUUUGAAGGGGAGAGCGAGUGCUGCGUGCUCCAUCUAGAUGUCUCAAAAUGAAUCAUUCACGUUAAUGGGAUGCGUCCAGUGGCUUUUGUUUGCUGAACAUCAAAGCCGGGUCACUUGGUUCAGCUACUGCUAAAAAUAUGACAAACAGGCAGGACAGAAAGUGAAUAAACUGUCAUGUUUUAUAUG